rnacentral:rRNA from 1 species
UACGGAAGGCAGCAGGGGGAAGUAUUGCACAAUGGGCGCAAGCCUGAUGCAGCCAUGCCGCGUGUAUGAAGAAGGCCUUCGGGUUGUAAAGUACUUUCAGUCGUGAGGAAGGUGUUAAGGUUAAUAACCUUAGCAAUUGACGUUAGCGACAGAAGAAGCACCGGCUAACUCCGUGCCAGCAGCCGCGGUAAUACGGAGGGUGCGAGCGUUAAUCGGAAUUACUGGGCGUAAAGGGCACGCAGGCGGUUAAUUAAGUUGGAUGUGAAAUCCCCGGGCUUAACCUGGGAAUGGCAUUCAAGACUGGUUAGCUAGAGUCUUGUAGAGGGGGUAGAAUUCCAUGUGUAGCGGUGAAAUGCGUAGAGAUGUGGAGGAAUACCGGUGGCGAAGGCGGCCCCUGGACAAAGACUGACGCUCAUGUGCGAAAGCGUGGGGAGCAAACAGGGAUUUAGAUACC